UUUCUUAAAGUUGUCUACUGAAGGAUCUCCUGAAGGGGAGAAGAAAGGAAAUUAAAUUGUAUUUAUAUCCUCUGCUUGUACCCAGACUGUUGGAAAGAAGAAAGGAUGGACAGACUUAAUCUUGUACAGACGGAAAAUGAGAUCCCUGGUGAAGCUUACAAUGUCAUUGACUCUGAAGAAGGACUCAGAGACCCAUUGGUGUUUAAUGACCCUUAUUGGCCUGCACAAAAGAAACUGCAGGAGGAAUGGAAAACAUGCAUCCGCCUGUCCAUGCUGUGAGUGCAAGAGGGAGAAAAAUGCGAAGUCUAGUGAAGAAUGGCAGAAAUUCUGACUUCUCUGUGGUGGGGCUGAUGAAAUGCAAGGCAGGGAAAGUGCCAUGUAAGGGAAACUGAUUCUCUGGGUCCCAAUAAGAACUUUUUGCCUUAUUCU
rnacentral:lncRNA from 1 species